rnacentral:rRNA from 1 species
GACGAACGCUGGCGGCGUGCCUAAUACAUGCAAGUAGAACGCUGAAGGAGGAGCUUGCUCUUCUGGAUGAGUUGCGAACGGGUGAGUAACGCGUAGGUAACCUGCCUGGUAGCGGGGGAUAACUAUUGGAAACGAUAGCUAAUACCGCAUAAGAGUAGAUGUUGCAUGACAUUUACUUAAAAGGUGCAAUUGCAUCACUACCAGAUGGACCUGCGUUGUAUUAGCUAGUUGGUGGGGUAACGGCUUACCAAGGCGACGAUACAUAGCCGACCUGAGAGGGGGAUCGGCCACACUGGGACUGAGACACGGCCCAGACUCCUACGGGAGGCAGCAGUAGGGAAUCGUCGGCAAUGGACGGAAGUCUGACCGAGCAACGCCGCGUGAGUGAAGAAGGUUUUCGGAUCGUAAAGCUCUGUUGUAAGAGAAGAACGAGUGUGAGAGUGGAAAGUUCACACUGUGACGGUAGCUUACCAGAAAGGGACGGCUAACUACGUG